UAAAGAUUAACAAAUAUAAUCAAACAUCAAUCAAAUUCAAUCAAAAUUUUAAAAGAAUUAUAUAAGAAGCACAAAGUAUUCCUAGAAACCUUUUAAAGAAUCAAAAAGAAAUAACAUAGAAAUUUAAAAAUAUACUAGAAUAAAAACCUUAAUAAAAUAUUAAAAUAGAAACCUUAAUUAAACCUUAAUCAAAAUCUAAUCAAAUUCUAAAAAAAUCUUAAUUAAAUCCUAAUCAAAUCCUAAACAAAUCCUAAACAAAUCCUAGUCAAAUUUUAAACAAAUUCUAGUCAAAUCCUAAAUAAAUCCUAACCAAAUCCUAACCAAAU
rnacentral:lncRNA from 1 species